rnacentral:rRNA from 1 species
AACGAACGCUGGCGGCAUGCUUAACACAUGCAAGUCGAACGAGACCUUCGGGUUUUGUGGCGCACGGGUGCGUAAGGCGUGGGAACCUGCACUUAGGUUCGGAAUAACUCCCUGUAAGGGGUGCUAAUACAGGUUAAUGUCUUCGGACCAAAGAUUUAUCGCUUUUGGGUGGGCGCGCGUUGGAUUAGCUGGUUGGUAGGGUAAAAGCCUACCAUGGCGACGAUGCAGGGCUGGUCGGAGAGGAUGCUCAGCCACAAUGGGACUGAGACACGGGCCACACUCGGACGGAGGGGUGCAGAGGGGAAUAUUAGACGCUGAGGGCUAACCUAGCACAGCAAUGCCGCGUAAGACAUGAAUGCCGUAGUAUUGUACAGCUCUUUUACCCGGGAUGAUAAUGACGGUACCGGGAAAAUAAGCACCGGCUAACUCCGUG